UGGGGAAUAUUGGACAAUGGGCGCAAGCCUGAUCCAGCAAUGCCGCGUGAGUGAUGAAGGCCUUCGGGUUGUAAAGCUCUUUCGCACGCGACGAUGAUGACGGUAGCGUGAGAAGAAGCCCCGGCUAACUUCGUGCCAGCAGCCGCGGUAAUACGAAGGGGGCUAGCGUUGUUCGGAAUUACUGGGCGUAAAGGGCGCGUAGGCGGUGCCUCAAGUCAGGCGUGAAAGCCCCGGGCUCAACCUGGGAACCGCGCUUGAGACUGGAGUACUAGAGUUCGGGAGAGGAUGGUGGAAUUCCCAGUGUAGAGGUGAAAUUCGUAGAUAUUGGGAAGAACACCGAUGGCGAAGGCAGCCAUCUGGACCGACACUGACGCUGAGGCGCGAAAGCGUGGGGAGCAAACA
rnacentral:rRNA from 1 species